GUGCUCGCUUCGGCAGCACAUAUACUAAAAUUGGAACGAUACAGAGAAGAUUAGCAAAGGGGCUGCGCCAGUCUGCAUUUCUACAGGCAGUGGAGCAGAGUCCUUUU